rnacentral:rRNA from 1 species
CCGUUAUAACCGGCGAUUUCCGAAUGGGGAAACCCAGUGUGUUUUGACACACUAUCAUUAACUGAAUCCAUAGGUUAAUGAGGCGAACCGGGGGAACUGAAACAUCUAAGUACCCCGAGGAAAAGAAAUCAACCGAGAUUCCCCCAGUAGCGGCGAGCGAACGGGGAGCAGCCCAGAGCCUGAAUCAGUGUGUGUGUUAGUGGAAGCGUCUGGAAAGGCGCGCGAUACAGGGUGACAGCCCCGUACACAAAAAUGCACAUGCUGUGAGCUCGAUGAGUAGGGCGGGACACGUGGUAUCCUGUCUGAAUAUGGGGGGACCAUCCUCCAAGGCUAAAUACUCCUGACUGACCGAUAGUGAACCAGUACCGUGAGGGAAAGGCGAAAAGAACCCCGGCGAGGGGAGUGAAAAAGAACCUGAAACCGUGUACGUACAAGCAGUGGGAGCACGCUUAGGCGUGUGACUGCGUACCUUUUGUAUAAUGGGUCAGCGACUUAUAUUCUGUAGCAAGGUUAACCGAAUAGGGGAGCCGAAGGGAAACCGAGUCUUAACUGGGCGUUAAGUUGCAGGGUAUAGACCCGAAACCCGGUGAUCUAGCCAUGGGCAGGUUGAAGGUUGGGUAACACUAACUGGAGGACCGAACCGACUAAUGUUGAAAAAUUAGCGGAUGACUUGUGGCUGGGGGUGAAAGGCCAAUCAAACCGGGAGAUAGCUGGUUCUCCCCGAAAGCUAUUUAGGUAGCGCCUCGUGAAUUCAUCUCCGGGGGUAGAGCACUGUUUCGGCAAGGGGGUCAUCCCGACUUACCAACCCGAUGCAAACUGCGAAUACCGGAGAAUGUUAUCACGGGAGACACACGGCGGGUGCUAACGUCCGUCGUGAAGAGGGAAACAACCCAGACCGCCAGCUAAGGUCCCAAAGUCAUGGUUAAGUGGGAAACGAUGUGGGAAGGCCCAGACAGCCAGGAUGUUGGCUUAGAAGCAGCCAUCAUUUAAAGAAAGCGUAAUAGCUCACUGGUCGAGUCGGCCUGCGCGGAA